AGGAGAAGAAAAAAACAAAAACAACACCAAAAAAACACAACCAAAAAAGAAAAAAGUUGUUGUGGAGGAUUCACCUCCUAAAGAAGAUCAAUACUUUGACGGUGAGACAUAUGAAAUAUCAAGUGACGAACUAGAUGAAUGGCUAAGG